GUAGGGAAUAUUGCGCAAUGGACGAAAGUCUGACGCAGCGACGCCGCGUGAGUGAUGAAGGCCUUAGGGUCGUAAAGCUCUGUUGAAUGGGAAGAAAAAAAUGACGGUACCAUUCGAGGAAGGACCGGCUAACUUCGUGCCAGCAGCCGCGGUAAUACGAGGGGUCCUAGCGUUGUUCGGAAUCAUUGGGCGUAAAGGGUGUGUAGGUGGCCAUGUAAGUCAGGUGUGAAAGCCCCGGGCUCAACCCGGGAAGUGCACUUGAUACUGCGUGGCUUGAGUACCGAAGAGGGUAGUGGAAUUCCAGGUGUAGUGGUGAAAUACGUAGAUAUCUGGAGGAACACCGGUGGCGAAGGCUGCUACCUGGUCGAGUACUGACAAUGAGACACGAAAGCAUGGGGAUCAAACAGGAUUAGAAACCCGAGUAGUCC
rnacentral:rRNA from 1 species